UCCCGCCCGCUCCCGCCCGCUCCCGCCCCGCGCGGUGUUCUGUCCCGCUGGGUCCCUGCUCUCUCCCGCCACUGCCCUCCGUUUUGCCGUCCGUCCUCUCUUUCUGGUCUGGUCUCGGGCUGUCCACUUUUGUGUGCUGUCUUCCCACCGUUUCCUCGCCUCCUUCCCCUCGUUCCGCUGUCCGUUGGUGGGAAUGCGGGGCGGCCCGCGACCUGACUUCAGCCGCCGCCGUGGCCUGCCCGAGGAGGCCUCCGGUCCUGAGCAGCCGCCUGCUGCUUGCCUCGAACGGGCAGGAAAAAAUGAACUCGUGCCCCGUUUCGGCCCAUUCAGGGCCGCGCAGUACAGUGGCGAGGAAGGCGAGCAGAGAUCACUGGGCAUGGUGCUUGCUUCGGGGCACGUUCCUGACAGGUGGCUGAGACCCCGUGCUGGAGCCAGACUGUACAGAGGAAUCCGGCCCCACCCUGGCCCUACAGGUCAUUCUAGAUGUCCUAGUUGGCAACCUAGCGCUCCAUGAGGAAGGAAGAAGAAGCUGGCAGGCCUUCUGCGGAAUAUCAUGUUCUCUGUAUUCUAUUGGUCAAAGCAGUCACAAGCCCAAGCCAGAUUCAGGAAGAGAAGAUAUAAGGACCACACUGAAGCAGAAUGGAUGCCAGCUCCUGCCAGACUCCAUAGACAUCCUGGGCCUGCCUCAUUUUCAUCCCUGAACCAAAUGCCACAUUCAGGGCAAUGUUCCAUCCUGGCCAGGAAGAUGUCACAUGCCCACUCUUGGACCUGGAUUAUCUUCAACAUCACUCAAAGCAUAUAUGAAAAGAACUGGUGGGGGGAGAGAAUUCCCCCCAAAAAACUGAGGCUGCUGUUUCUCGAAGAAAGGAAUAGAUGUAGAAAGGCAGAAAGAAGCAGAGGUCCAAGGCCUCUGUAUCAGCUGUACCUGCUCAGACCUCCUGCUAGUUGCUUCUCUGGGAACCCAUCCAGUCCUGGUUCAACUACCAGUACACAGUGAGGAGAAAGUGCCUUGGUGCCUCAGAAUGUGGGAGACAGGGUGGGGCUCUCCCAUUUCAGAGCUUGGAUGCUCUCCCUGAAGACUCACUGUAAAGAAGUAGUGGGAACAGGCAAAGGCUGCAAAUCCA